UCAUAGAGCAAUGCAACAGGUGCAGAGAACGGCAUCGCCGUACUUUUGUUAAAAGGGAAACAGGUGAAAAUCCUGUACGAUCUCGUCACUGUAUGCAGGGAGUGCAGAACAAAGCGCGUCGGCGCAGCCACUGGGAAACCGGGAAGGCAGUUUCUGUGUGAUGAUCUGCAAGUCAGGAAACCUGCCUGCUGCUGGUACGGGAC
rnacentral:ncRNA from 2 species